AGGAUCUUUUAGUACGAGAGGAACAAAGGUUCGGCGCCUCUGGUCAACCGGUUGUCUGAUAAGGCAGGCCGGGCAGCUACGCGCUAAGGGAUAAGAGCUGAAAGCAUCUAAGCUUGAAGCCCGCCUCGAAAAGAGAUAUCAUAGAGC
rnacentral:rRNA from 1 species